AAGACCAGAUCCGUUACAGGCGCACGUAACGGUACAAGGUAGAUGGAGAAGUUUUGAGGCAGAAAGAUAAAAGAUUAAGGAGACGUAUACAAAAAUGCCAGAACUAAAAACGUGUAUAGCAUGCCUGAUUGCCUCAAGCAGGCUAGGUGGCUUUUUGUCACCGCCCCGUUCCGAAGGGGAUGUCAUUAAACCAUCACCACCAUCAACAUUAGGCUUCUGACUGAAGAUCAGUGUCGGCAGCGGCUACGACACAGGAGCGCACUUCACUAACAACAUGGAAGAGCCUGAGCAAGGCUCUUCACCGACGAAACCGAAGUGGCCAUUCGAAAAGCAAGUGUGGUUCAAGACGUCUAUGCUUGGGAAGCGACGGGUGCCCGUGGAACCGAUGAAAAACAAGUGUCGGAAUCUGUUACAGCUGGCCCAGGGAAAAUGCAAAGGGGAAAUGCUUCAAACCAGUCCUGUGUAGGUAAAAGUUCAAAGAGGGAAUCCGACAGCAUAAUUUCGAGGGUGAUCGCUAAAGAUCCGGAUAU
rnacentral:lncRNA from 1 species